AUGUACCACGCGUACACGCCAGUUCCGCCACGCCGUCCACAGCCACCGGACGACUGCGCGCGACGCUUUGUUAGCC
rnacentral:sRNA from 1 species